GACAGUGAUCAGUAAUCAGGAUUCAAGAAAGACAAAAUCAUAGGAAAAUGCGCGGGCUCUCAAGCUUUUAGGAAUACAAAGAGGUUUUUACUUGCUGCUAAAGGAAAAGAAUGAAAAACAUUUAGAAUGACUCUGUGAAAGUGAAAGAAACCCCCACAUUUCUUCUAGUUUUAUCUGGGGUUAUUUUGUUUGCUGCAUUCAAAUUCUUUGAAUCAAAGAUAGGAGUUCAAUUGAAAAGGACAAAGAAAAAACGCAAACUUUAGGUCUUUUGGAGCAACAGAAAAAAAUGUCAGAAAACUCGCAAGUUUUAAUUUUAAGGCUUCCGAAGAAUGAAAAUUAGAAUUGUCCCCUGUGACAAAAUGGACCAUAGCAGUUCCUAAACAGAUACUUUUUGAUUAAAUGGGGAAGUGUGUUGUGAGAAGCGAAGGGAGGAGUUCCAGAAAUAGGAACAAGAUAAACUGUCCGACUAAUUCUUCACCAGGAAUCGCAUCGAAACAUAAAAUUGAAGAGGCCUGCAAGGCAUUGAAGCCUCUUGGCAUCUCCAAAGCUAAAGUGAAGGCGAAACUCAAUGAACUACUAGAACUCUAUGACAAUAAGUGCGAGCUUAUUGAAGAUGAGGGCUACCAGGUUCUGCUCAAUGCUACAUUGGAGAAAUCAGACGAGAGUCAGGGAGUACAAUCAAAGAAGAAUGCUUUAUUUUGUCUUAAUUCUGAAGCAUCUAAAACAUUGCCAAAAACAUUAUGCACAAGAUGCCAGACCAGACAGGCUGCCUCACCAGACAGGCUGCCUCUCUGCAGUAGUUGAAUACAUCAUCUCUGCAGUAGUUGAAUACAUCAUCAGUGAGUUUUUCAGCAGAAGACAAAGACAUGGAUGUGGUUGAACUCAUCUCAGACUCUGGGAGUCAUUCAGAGACUGAAGUGUUUAAACCUCCAGUUUCAAGAGUACAGCACGAACCAAGGAAAAAGGCUGCAGCUUCUCCUUCUUCUCCUAACUUGCCAAACAAAGUACAUCAGCAAGGAAAGCAUGCACAAUUGAGGCUGAACCAUCUCUAAGGUCUGAAAGUGCUUCAGAAGCUGAAGACUUUGACACUCCUUUGAAAAGAAUGCGCACAAGAUGCCAGAUUAAGCAGGUUUCAACAGUUAUGGAUAACUCCCACUCGCAGUUGGCGAAGACUUCAUUAAUGGAAAAGGGCCUUGGACGAGGUUGAAUUCUCUCAAAGUUGCAUCAAAGAGGUACCUGGGUUAAUUCAGUUUAAUUGUGAAGAUGAACAAACCAAUUUGAAGCCUGUUCUGCCAUCAGAAAGUGAUGUCAAGAAGUGGAAGAAAGCUCAUUUGUCUCCUAAAAAGAGAGCAAAGAUUGUUUUUUUUUUUUUUUUUUCCCUAAUUUUUU